rnacentral:rRNA from 1 species
GAUGAACGCUGGCGGCGUGCCUAAUACAUGCAAGUCGAGCGAACGGACGAGAAGCUUGCUUCUCUGAUGUUAGCGGCGGACGGGUGAGUAACACGUGGAUAACCUACCUAUAAGACUGGGAUAACUUCGGGAAACCGGAGCUAAUACCGGAUGAUAUUUUGAACCGCAUGGUUCAAAAGUGAAAGACGGUCUUGCUGUCACUUAUAGAUGGAUCCGCGCUGCAUUAGCUAGUUGGUAAGGUAACGGCUUACCAAGGCAACGAUGCAUAGCCGACCUGAGAGGGUGAUCGGCCACACUGGAACUGAGACACGGUCCAGACUCCUACGGGAGGCAGCAGUAGGGAAUCUUCCGCAAAGGGCGAAAGCCUGACAGAGCAACGCCGCGUGAGUGAUGAAGGUCUUCGGAUCGUAAAACUCUGUUAUUAGGGAAGAACAUAUGUGUAAGUAACUGUGCACAUCUUGACGGUACCUAAUCAGAAAGCCACGGCUAACUACGUG